ACAUGAUAACAGUGUAAGUAUGAAAGCUGUGUUGAUUACAUGGAGCUAGUUGCCAAAGCGGAAAUGGUCGUGAUGCUGCCAUGUUAAGCAGGGGCAAAAUUGGUGAUGCUUAUAUGAGAGAUGCUACUGGUGGUACAGUGACACAGUAUAGCAGCAUUUAUAGUGCCGUCUACAAGGUUUUGACAAGCAACUUUUGGAAAAUAGAAGUUUGAUCAAUGGACUUAAACUAAAAACAUUGGACAUUCAUAACUUGCAACUCUAAAUAUUCCAAAGCUCACAUCAAAUGCAAUACUUUAAAUCCUCCCAAAGGAACCACAAAAAAGGUAG
rnacentral:misc_RNA from 1 species